GGUUAAGCGAACAAGCGUACACGGUGGAUGCCCUGGCAGUCAGAGGCGAUGAAGGACGUGCUAAUCUGCGAAAAGCGCCGGUAAGGUGAUAUGAACCGUUAUAACCGGCGAUGUCCGAAUGGGGAAACCCGGUGCACUUCGGUGCAUCAUCGUUAGCUGAAUACAUAGGCUAACGAGGCGAACCGGGGGAACUGAAACAUCUAAGUACCCCGAGGAAAAGAAAUCAACCGAGAUUCCCCCAGUAGCGGCGAGCGAACGGGGAACAGCCCAGAGCCUGAAUCAGCUUGUGUGUCAGUGGAACGGUCUGGAAAGGCCGGCGAUACAGGGUGACAGCCCCGUACACGAAGGCACACAGGCUGUGAGCUCGAUGAGUAGGGCGGGACACGUGAUAUCCUGUCUGAAGAUGGGGGGACCAUCCUCCAAGGCUAAAUACUCCUGACUGACCGAUAGUGAACCAGUACCGUGAGGGAAAGGCGAAAAGAACCCCGGCGAGGGGAGUGAAACAGAACCUGAAACCGUGUACGUACAAGCAGUGGGAGCCUUCGUAAGAGGGUGACUGCGUACCUUUUGUAUAAUGGGUCAGCGACUUAUAUUCUGUAGCAAGGUUAACCGUAUAGGGGAGCCGAAGGGAAACCGAGUCUUAAUUGGGCGUUAAGUUGCAGGGUAUAGACCCGAAACCCGGUGAUCUAGCCAUGGGCAGGUUGAAGGUUGGGUAACACUAACUGGAGGACCGAACCGACUAAUGUUGAAAAAUUAGCGGAUGACCUGUGGCUGGGGGUGAAAGGCCAAUCAAACCGGGAGAUAGCUGGUUCUCCCCGAAAGCUAUUUAGGUAGCGCCUCGUGAAUUCAUCUCCGGGGGUAGAGCACUGUUUCGGCUAGGGGGCCAUCCCGGCUUACCAACCCGAUGCAAACUGCGAAUACCGGAGAAUGUUAUCACGGGAGACACACGGCGGGUGCUAACGUCCGUCGUGAAGAGGGAAACAACCCAGACCGCCAGCUAAGGUCCCAAAGUCAUGGUUAAGUGGGAAACGAUGUGGGAAGGCCCAGACAGCCAGGAUGUUGGCUUAGAAGCAGCCAUCAUUUAAAGAAAGCGUAAUAGCUCACUGGUCGAGUCGGCCUGCGCGGAAGAUGUAACGGGGCUAAACCAUGCACCGAAGCUGCGGCAGCGACACUAUGUGUUGUUGGGUAGGGGAGCGUUCUGUAAGCCUGUGAAGGUGUGCUGUGAGGCAUGCUGGAGGUAUCAGAAGUGCGAAUGCUGACAUAAGUAACGAUAAAGCGGGUGAAAAGCCCGCUCGCCGGAAGACCAAGGGUUCCUGUCCAACGUUAAUCGGGGCAGGGUGAGUCGACCCCUAAGGCGAGGCCGAAAGGCGUAGUCGAUGGGAAACAGGUUAAUAUUCCUGUACUUGGUGUUACUGCGAAGGGGGGACGGAGAAGGCUAUGUCGGCCGGGCGACGGUUGUCCCGGUUUAAGCGUGUAGGCUGACUUUCCAGGCAAAUCCGGAAAGUUAAGGCUGAGGCGUGAUGACGAGGCACCACGGUGCUGAAGUGACAAAUGCCCUGCUUCCAGGAAAAGCCUCUAAGCAUCAGGUAACAUUAAAUCGUACCCCAAACCGACACAGGUGGUCAGGUAGAGAAUACCAAGGCGCUUGAGAGAACUCGGGUGAAGGAACUAGGCAAAAUGGUGCCGUAACUUCGGGAGAAGGCACGCUGACAUGUAGGUGAAGCCCCUGCGGGUGGAGCUGAAGUCAGUCGAAGAUACCAGCUGGCUGCAACUGUUUAUUAAAAACACAGCACUGUGCAAACACGAAAGUGGACGUAUACGGUGUGACGCCUGCCCGGUGCCGGAAGGUUAAUUGAUGGGGUUAUCGCAAGAGAAGCUCCUGAUCGAAGCCCCGGUAAACGGCGGCCGUAACUAUAACGGUCCUAAGGUAGCGAAAUUCCUUGUCGGGUAAGUUCCGACCUGCACGAAUGGCGUAAUGAUGGCCAGGCUGUCUCCACCCGAGACUCAGUGAAAUUGAACUCGCUGUGAAGAUGCAGUGUACCCGCGGCAAGACGGAAAGACCCCGUGAACCUUUACUACAGCUUGACACUGAACAUUGAGCCUUGAUGUGUAGGAUAGGUGGGAGGCUUUGAAGCGUGGACGCCAGUCUGCGUGGAGCCAACCUUGAAAUACCACCCUUUAAUGUUUGAUGUUCUAACCUGGCGCCGUAAUCCGGCGUGGGGACAGUGUCUGGUGGGUAGUUUGACUGGGGCGGUCUCCUCCCAAAGUGUAACGGAGGAGCACGAAGGUCAGCUAAUCCUGGUCGGACAUCAGGAGGUUAGUGCAAUGGCAUAAGCUGGCUUGACUGCGAGAGUGACGGCUCGAGCAGGUGCGAAAGCAGGUCAUAGUGAUCCGGUGGUUCUGUAUGGAAGGGCCAUCGCUCAACGGAUAAAAGGUACUCCGGGGAUAACAGGCUGAUACCGCCCAAGAGUUCAUAUCGACGGCGGUGUUUGGCACCUCGAUGUCGGCUCAUCACAUCCUGGGGCUGAAGUAGGUCCCAAGGGUAUGGCUGUUCGCCAUUUAAAGUGGUACGCGAGCUGGGUUUAGAACGUCGUGAGACAGUUCGGUCCCUAUCUGCCGUGGGCGCUGGAGAAUUGAGGGGGGCUGCUCCCAGUACGAGAGGACCGGAGUGGACGCAUCACUGGUGUUCGGGUUGUCAUGCCAAUGGCACUGCCCGGUAGCUAAAUGCGGAAGAGAUAAGUGCUGAAAGCAUCUAAGCACGAAACUUGCCCCGAGAUGAGUUCUCCCUGACUCCUUGAGAGUCCUGAAGGAACGUUGAAGACGACGACGUUGAUAGGCCGGGUGUGUAAGCGCAGCGAUGCGUUGAGCUAACCGGUACUAAUGAACCGUGAGGCUUAACCUU
rnacentral:rRNA from 1 species